rnacentral:siRNA from 1 species
AGCUUCCAUGGUUGACGGCUCUCA